GGAAUAUUGGACAAUGGGCGCAAGCCUGAUCCAGCCAUGCCGCGUGAGUGAUGAAGGCCUUAGGGUUGUAAAGCUCUUUUAGCGGGGACGAUAAUGACGGUACCCAGUAAAGAAGCCCCGGCUAACUCCGUGCCAGCAGCCGCGGUAAUACGGAGGGGGCUAGCGUUGUUCGGAAUUACUGGGCGUAAAGCGCGCGUAGGCGGAUUGGAAAGUUGGGGGUGAAAUCCCGGGGCUCAACCCCGGAACUGCCUCCAAAACUAUCAGUCUGGAGUUCGAGAGAGGUGAGUGGAAUUCCGAGUGUAGAGGUGAAAUUCGUAGAUAUUCGGAGGAACACCAGUGGCGAAGGCGGCUCACUGGCUCGAUACUGACGCUGAGGUGCGAAAGUGUGGGGAGCA
rnacentral:rRNA from 1 species